rnacentral:rRNA from 1 species
UACGUAGGGGGCAAGCGUUGUCCGGAUUUAUUGGGCGUAAAGAGCGUGUAGGCGGUUAGGUAGGUCCGUUGUGGAAACUCGAGGCUCAACCUCGAGACGCCGAUGGAAACCCCCUAACUAGAGUCCGGAAGAGGAGAGUGGAAUUCCUGGUGUAGCGGUGAAAUGCGCAGAUAUCAGGAAGAACACCCGUGGCUAAGGCGGCUCUCUAGUACGGUACUGACGCUGAGACGCGAAAGCGUGGGGAGCGAACAGG